CCUACGGGUGGCAGCAGUGAGGAAUAUUGGUCAAUGGUCGGGAGACUGAACCAGCCAAGUCGCGUGAGGGAUGAAGGCACUGCGGAUUGUAAACUUCUUUUGUAAGGGAAUAAAGUGUGGCACGUGUCCCUGGUUGUAUGUACUUGAUGAAAAAGGAUCGGCUAACUCCGUGCCAGCAGCCGCGGUAAUACGUAGGAUCCGAGCGUUAUCCGGAUUUAGUGGGUGUAAAGGGAGAGUAGAUGGGUUGUUAAGUCAGUUGUGAAAGUUUGAGGCUCAACCGUAAAAUUGCAAUAGAUACUGGCAGCCUUGAGUACAGUUGAGGUAGGCGGAAUUCGUGGUGUAGCGGUGAAAUGCUUAGAUAUUACGAAGAACUCCGAUUGCGAAGGCAGCUUACUAAACUGCCACUGACACUGAUGCUCGAAAGUGUGGGGAGCAAACAGGAUUAGAUACCCCUGUAGUC
rnacentral:rRNA from 1 species